AAUCAAGCGUUUAAGAGCAUUUAGUGGAUGCCUUGGCACUGAGAGGCGAUGAAGGACGUGAAAGGCUGCGAUAAGCUGCGGGGAGAUGCCAAUAAUCUUUGAUCCGCGGAUUUCCGAAUGGGGAAACCCACCGUGUAGACGGUAUUUUGUUCUGAAUAUAUAGGAACAAAAAGCAAACCUGGUGAACUGAAACAUCUAAGUAGCCAGAGGAAAGGACAUCAAUUGAGACUCCGUUAGUAGUGGCGAGCGAACGCGGAUCAGGCCAGUGGUUUUUAAAAGGGAACUAGAAGUGUUUGGAAAAGCACGCCAUAGUGGGUGAUAGCCCCGUAUAGGUAGGACUUUUAAAAAUCCAAGAGUAGGGCGGGACACGUGAAAUCCUGUUUGAAGAUGGGGGGACCAUCCUCCAAGCCUAAGUACUCCUCAGUGACCGAUAGUGAACUAGUACCGUGAGGGAAAGGUGAAAAGAACCCCGAGUAGGGGAGUGAAAUAGACCUGAAACUGAAUGCUUACAAGCAGUCGGAGCAGCUUUCGCUGUGACGGCGUACCUCUUGUAUCAUGGGUCAGCGAGUUAGUUUGUGAAGCAAGCUUAAGCCGUUAGGUGUAGGCGAAGCGAAAGCGAGUCUUAAUAGGGCGACGAGUUUCACGAAUUAGACCCGAAACCGAGUGAUCUAGCCAUGAGCAGGCUGAAGGUGUGGUAAUGCGCACUGGAGGGCCGAACCAUAUCCUGUUGCAGAAGGUGUGGAUGACUUGUGGCUAGGGGUGAAAGGCCAAUCAAACUCGGAAAUAGCUGGUUCUCCGCGAAAUCUAUUUAGGUAGAGCGUCGCAUGUUUCUUUUUGGGGGUAGAGCACUGAAUGGGCUAGGGGGGAGCGAUCUUUACCAAACCCAAUUAAACUCCGAAUACCAAAAAGUCAAGUGCGGCAGACAGACGGCAGGCGAUAACGUCAGUCGUCGAAAGGGAAACAACCCUAAUCGCCAUCUAAGGUCCCCAAGUCAUGGUUAAGUGGGGAAGGAUGUGAAUCGACCAAGACAGCUAGGAGGUUGGCUUAGAAGCAGCCAUCCUUUAAAGAAAGCGUAAUAGCUCACUAGUCUAAAUAAGUUGGUUUGCGCCGAAAAUGUACCGGGGCUAAAGCCAUGCACCGAAGAUGCGAGCACUGUUUAGUGCGGUAGCGGAGCGUUCUGUAGGCCGUUGAAGCAAGACUGUGAGGUCUUGUGGAGGUAUCAGAAGUGAGAAUGCUGACAUGAGUAACGUAAAGAAGUGUGAAAGACACUUCCGCCGAAAGUCCAAGGUUUCCUGUGCAAGGUUAAUCCGCGCAGGGUGAGCCGGCCCCUAAGACGAGGACGAAAGUCGUAGUCGAUGGGAAUCAGGUUAAUAUUCCUGAGCCAGUUGGAGAUGACGGAGAUGAAGUUUUGUUCAGUCUUAUUGGAUUGAUUGGGCAUUUGGAUUCUUCCAGGAAAUAAUCCCAACAAUAGACCGUACCCCAAACCGACACUGGUGGACUGGUAGAGUAUACUAAGGCGCUUGAGAGAAUGAUGUUGAAGGAACUCGGCAAAUUGACUCCGUAACUUCGGGAUAAGGAGUACCCUAAAGAGGGCAACCUUUUUGGGGUGGCACAUAAGAGGGAGUAGCGACUGUUUAACUAAAACACAGGGCUCUGCUAAGAGGAAACUCGAUGUAUAGGGUCUGACGCCUGCCCGGUGCUGGAAGGUUAAGAGGAGAUGUGCAAGCAUUGAAUUGAAGCCCCAGUAAACGGCGGCCGUAAAUCUAACGGUCCUAAGGUAGCGAAAUUCCUUGUCGGGUAAGUUCCGACCCGCAUGAAUGGCGUAACGACUUCUCCGCUGUCUCCAACAUCAACUCAGUGAAAUUGAAUUCUCCGUGAAGAUGCGGAGUUCCUGCGGUUAGACGGAAAGACCCCGUGCACCUUUACUAUAGCUUUGCAUUGGUACGAGGUAUGUCAUGUGUAGGAUAGGUGGGAGGCUAUGAAGCAUAAGCGCUAGCUUGUGUGGAGCCGUCCUUGAAAUACCACCCUUGACUUGCUUCGUAUCUAACUAAGUACUGUUAUCCAGUACUAGGACCAUGCAUGGUGGGUAGUUUGACUGGGGCAGUCGCCUCCUAAAGAGUAACGGAGGCGCGCGAUGGUAAGCUCAAGCUGGUCAGAAAUCAGCUGUAGCGUGUAAUGGCAUAAGCUUGCCUGACUGCGAGACCAACAAGUCAAGCAGAGACGAAAGUCGGUCAUAGUGAUCCGGUGGUUCCAUAUGGAAGGGCCAUCGCUCAACGGAUAAAAGGUACGCCGGGGAUAACAGGCUUAUCUCCCCCAAGAGUUCUUAUCGACGGGGAGGUUUGGCACCUCGAUGUCGGCUCAUCACAUCCUGGGGCUGUAGUAGGUCCCAAGGGUUUGGCUGUUCGCCAAUUAAAGUGGUACGUGAGCUGGGUUCAGAACGUCGUGAGACAGUUCGGUCCCUAUCUGCCGUGGGUGUAGGAAAAUUGAGAGGAUCUGCCCUUAGUACGAGAGGACCGGGGUGGACGUACCUCUGGUGUAUCAGUUGUCACGCCAGUGGCAGUGCUGAGUAGCUAUGUACGGAAUAGAUAACCGCUGAAAGCAUCUAAGCGGGAAACUAACCUCGAAACUAAUUUUCCCUAUUGAAGACCGUGGAAGACCACCACGUUGAUAGGCUGGAUGUGUAAGAAGGGUAACCUUUUAAGCUAACCAGUACUAAUAGUCUCAUUGGCUUGAUUUG
rnacentral:rRNA from 1 species